CCUGAAUAUACUCAUCGUGUUUUUUUUUGUUCGUCGCAGCGCUAUUGCGUGUAUUUAUACAAAUAGCAUGUGUCAGAUUUGCGGUGAUUUGAAGAAACUCCUAAAAAUAACGAUGGCAUCGAACUGAUUGUUUAGUUGAAGCAGGAUAGUGGUAAUUUACCGCCAUAUUGGUAGGACCCAUGUCGGACAGUCAGGCUCAGAAGAAAGUUCGGAGGCCUAGGGCUACAAAGGCUGAAAAGGGCACCCAGUGUUGUGCAUAUGGUUGCAAGAAGCGUAAGAAAAGCAGACUUAAUGGCAGAAGUGAUAGCGAAGGCAGCGAAGACGAAGAGUCGGCCUUAAAGAGAUGCCACCCUAGAACAUUUCAUUCUAUCCCAAGUGAUCCAGAGAGAAGAAGAGCCUGGCUUGUUGGUCUCCAUCGAGAGAAAUGGACACCUAGUUCACAUUCGCGUGUCUGCUCUGACCAUUUUAAAGAGAGUGACAUGGAUAGAACUGGCCAGACUGUCCGGCUUCGUUCUGAAGCCUUUCCAACUCGAUUUAAAAGCCUCCCAAAACAUUUGAGGAUGACUGCACCACCACCAAGGAAACCACCAUUAGACCGUUCAAAAGUCAUUGCAAGCAAGGCUGUUCAAGAACGUAUACAACUUGAAAAUACAGUUCCAGAAUGCAAUCGAGUGUCACCUACAAGAAGGGUACAAUUGAGUGACCAUCAGUAUUACAAUCCUGAAUGUAAUCCUACAAGAAAUGUACAACUGGGUGAUCAUGAGUACCACAUCAAGGAUUCACCAAAACGAUUAACUGGAAAACUUAACUCAUCCAAUGAAAAAAUUGCAAUUUUACGAAAGAAACUGAAACAUGCUCAGCAGAAAUCCAGACGUUUGCAAAUGAAAGUCAAGUCACUGAAGGAUAUUGUAAAACAUCUGCGCAAAACACAGAAGCAGCUGGAGUUGGGAACUUCACAUGAAAAUGUGUCUUCUGAAAACAGUUCAAAAAGUAAUAUGAAAAAUACGUGACAGUGCUAACACAGAAACGGUUUGAUCUGAACAGGAAAGGACUAUCAAAAUCCCAGUCCUUAAAUGUCAGUCAGAUAACUGGCUGUGCCAUGGUCACAGAAAAUACUUGCUGGAAAGUAUCUUAAAAAGGUACUAGGACAUCAUUAUACUCUGAUGGAAGUUUGACCAGCAUUCUGUCAACACCCCGGACCAUGACAAAACCAAUACAAAUAAACAGCAAGAUAAACAUGUUGGAGGUGUUAGACAUUGUGAAAUUCUGAUUUAUCUGGAUGUCCCUUGUCCCUUAUUUUGAAACUCUAGUAGUCCUGCGAUUUUUGAAACUAAUAGUCCUGCGUCCAACUUCAAGUUCUGUGUCUAAUCGCUCUCCAUUUAUUGAUUAUUGAUUGUCAGCACCUUGCUCAGUGAUAAAUCCAAAAGGUGAAAUUGUUUUUUCAGGAGAUGGUUUGAGAUAUUUGAGUUCAGGACUCCAUAUUUCUCUUUUGAUAAACCUCUCUAUUGUAACCAACUAAGUGUGAAAUCUGCACUACAGCAUAAUUAAAUAAAGAUUGUCACUUAAAAGGUUAAUCAACAGCUGUGGAAGUCUUGCUCGAAUACUUUACAUAUUGUCUGACUCAAAAUUCCGAAGUAGCCCUCUGUAUCAAGACAGUAUUUGGUGACCUAAAUGGUAGUGUGUGUAUAAAUUGUGAGAAUACACAUUGGCUUAUUAGGGAAUUAAAGACUGCUUUAACCGAA